CACACGCACGCGUCACGCGCAUGAACGACGAGUCUCAUUCAAAGUGUCCGCUAUUCUUAUUUUCGGGCCUCGCGCCAGCCAAGUAUAUAAGUAAUAUUAUCCUCUGCCGAUUUCUCUCCGGUGUAUAAUACGAGCUGCGGGAGCGGAUAUCGCGAGACAUUUCCAGCCGGUACUGAGAGAGCGUUGUUUUGCAAGUGCAGCGCGCGCGAACGAGCCUGAGGGAGAGUGACAUUGGAAGACGAGGGAGAAGAAGUAGGGGCAAAGGCCUCGACCUCGGCGCCGAUCUGCUUGAUGCCGCGCUUGACGCCCCAGAGCUUGGCGAUGAGCGACAUCCUUCCAGCGCCUCUCGUCCGCCGCGCUCUUCAUGCUCGCUUGCAGCACAUUUGGCCGAUGCGUAUCUCAGGUGCAGCAACAGGUCUGUGUAUAAGUAUAAC